rnacentral:rRNA from 1 species
GAGAGUUUGAUCCUGGCUCAGAUUGAACGCUGGCGGCAGGCCUAACACAUGCAAGUCGAGCGGUAGCACAGAGAGCUUGCUCUCGGGUGACGAGCGGCGGACGGGUGAGUAAUGUCUGGGAAACUGCCUGAUGGAGGGGGAUAACUACUGGAAACGGUAGCUAAUACCGCAUAAUGUCGCAAGACCAAAGUGGGGGACCUUCGGGCCUCAUGCCAUCAGAUGUGCCCAGAUGGGAUUAGCUAGUAGGUGGGGUAACGGCUCACCUAGGCGACGAUCCCUAGCUGGUCUGAGAGGAUGACCAGCCACACUGGAACUGAGACACGGUCCAGACUCCUACGGGAGGCAGCAGUGGGGAAUAUUGCACAAUGGGCGCAAGCCUGAUGCAGCCAUGCCGCGUGUGUGAAGAAGGCCUUCGGGUUGUAAAGCACUUUCAGCGGGGAGGAAGGCGGUGAGGUUAAUAACCUCAUCGAUUGACGUUACCCGCAGAAGAAGCACCGGCUAACUCCGUGCCAGCAGCCGCGGUAAUACGGAGGGUGCAAGCGUUAAUCGGAAUUACUGGGCGUAAAGCGCACGCAGGCGGUCUGUCAAGUCGGAUGUGAAAUCCCCGGGCUCAACCUGGGAACUGCAUUCGAAACUGGCAGGCUAGAGUCUUGUAGAGGGGGGUAGAAUUCCAGGUGUAGCGGUGAAAUGCGUAGAGAUCUGGAGGAAUACCGGUGGCGAAGGCGGCCCCCUGGACAAAGACUGACGCUCAGGUGCGAAAGCGUGGGGAGCAAACAGGAUUAGAUACCCUGGUAGUCCACGCCGUAAACGAUGUCGAUUUGGAGGUUGUGCCCUUGAGGCGUGGCUUCCGGAGCUAACGCGUUAAAUCGACCGCCUGGGGAGUACGGCCGCAAGGUUAAAACUCAAAUGAAUUGACGGGGGCCCGCACAAGCGGUGGAGCAUGUGGUUUAAUUCGAUGCAACGCGAAGAACCUUACCUGGUCUUGACAUCCACAGAACUUUCCAGAGAUGGAUUGGUGCCUUCGGGAACUGUGAGACAGGUGCUGCAUGGCUGUCGUCAGCUCGUGUUGUGAAAUGUUGGGUUAAGUCCCGCAACGAGCGCAACCCUUAUCCUUUGUUGCCAGCGGUUAGGCCGGGAACUCAAAGGAGACUGCCAGUGAUAAACUGGAGGAAGGUGGGGAUGACGUCAAGUCAUCAUGGCCCUUACGACCAGGGCUACACACGUGCUACAAUGGCAUAUACAAAGAGAAGCGACCUCGCGAGAGCAAGCGGACCUCAUAAAGUAUGUCGUAGUCCGGAUUGGAGUCUGCAACUCGACUCCAUGAAGUCGGAAUCGCUAGUAAUCGUAGAUCAGAAUGCUACGGUGAAUACGUUCCCGGGCCUUGUACACACCGCCCGUCACACCAUGGGAGUGGGUUGCAAAAGAAGUAGGUAGCUUAACCUUCGGGAGGGCGCUUACCACUUUGUGAUUCAUGACUGGGGUGAAGUCGUAACAAGGUAACCG